GUUAACAUGGGUCGAGAGCCCGGGGUAAGACAUGGGGGUCGAGUGUUAAUCGGAUUUACUGGGCGUAAAGCGCGCGUAGGGGGUUAAUUAAGUCAAAUGUGAAAUCCCCGAGCUUAACUUGGGAAUUGCAUUCGAUACUGGUUAGCUAGAGUAUGGGAGAGGAUGGUAGAAUUCCAGGUGUAGCGGUGAAAUGCGUAGAGAUCUGGAGGAAUACCGAUGGCGAAGGCAGCCAUCUGGCCUAAUACUGACACUGAGGUGCGAAAGCAUGGGGAGCAAACAGGAUUAGAUACCCUUGUAGUC
rnacentral:rRNA from 1 species